AGAGAUCAAAUAUUGUACACUGAAGAACAAAAUGCUCUACUACUGGCUUCUUCCUUUUUGUCUUUUUUUCCCUUGCUUUUAAGGAAAUUGUAAGUAACAUUGGGAGCAGAUAGAUGGAUGUGUUUCAUCCUACCUGCCUCCCCAUGCAAAAAACGCACGCACGCGAUCUAUGUACACCUACUUACCCUUACCCAUCGAUGGAUCGAUCCUGGCAAUUAAACGGCCGAUUAACCUCUUACUAGUAAGUACACGCCAUUCUUCUAAACUUUAAAUUCUACCACGAGAGCGCUUUGCUUUACUUCCGGGCCGCGUCGUCAUCGGGCGACCGAGAUCGGUCCAUCUCCUACGCCAUCUCCACCGGCGGCGGCAGGUUCAGGUCGAACCCCACGCCCACGGCCGGCGAGGCGUCCACCACGGAUGACGACGACCCGGUGUCGCUCUGCUCUUCCUCGCGGGACGCCACCUUGUUCAUGCCGCUGAUCGCCGCUGACCGGCAGGGGGCCGGCGCCGGCGCGGCCACGGCCACGGUCACCGCGACCCUGGGGUCCAGGAACAGGAACGGCUGCGCCGCCACCAUGGCCGGCAUCGCCAGGCUCAGGUCGAGCGCCGGCGGGGGCGCGGGGGCAGCAGCAGCAGGAGCGGCGGGCGCCGCGGC
rnacentral:lncRNA from 1 species